rnacentral:rRNA from 1 species
UGGGGAAUAUUGCACAAUGGGCGCAAGACUGAUGCAGCCAUGCCGCGUGUAUGAAGAAGGCCUUCGGGUUGUAAAGUACUUUCAGUCGGGAGGAAGGUGUCAAGGUUAAUAACCUUGGCAAUUGACGUUACCGACAGAAGAAGAACCGGCUAACUCCGUGCCAGCAGCCGCGGUAAUACGGAGGGUGCAAGCGUUAAUCGGAAUUACUGGGCGUAAAGCGCACGCAGGCGGUUGAUUGAGUCAGAUGUGAAAUCCCCGGGCUUAACCCGGGAAUUGCAUCUGAUACUGGUCAACUAGAGUCUUGUAGAGGUGGGUAGAAUUCCAUGUGUAGCGGUGAAAUGCGUAGAGAUGUGGAGGUAUCCCGGUGGCGAAGGCGGCCCCCUGGACAAAGACUGACGCUCAGGUGCGAAAGCGUGGGGAGCAAACAGG